rnacentral:rRNA from 1 species
AUUUAAUAGAAUUAAUUAUUAAUAAUACCUGCUCAAUGAAAUUAAAUAGCCGCAGCUCAUACUGUGCUAAGGUAGCAUAAUCAUUUGUCUUUUAAUUAAAGACUAGAAUGAAAGGUUUAACAUUUAAAUUAUUCUAAAAUACUCUUUAUUAAAUUUAUUUUAAAUGUAAAAAAACAUUUAUUUUUAGAAAGACGACAAGACCCUAUUGAACUUUACUGAAGUUUAACUGGGGCAGUUAAUUAAUUAAUAUUUUAAUUAUCAAUAUUACAAAAAUGACCCAAUCCAAUUGAUUAAAUGAUCAAGCUACCAUAGGGAUAACAGCGUAAUAUUUUUUUAUAGAUCGUAUUUAAAAAAAUGAUUACGACCUCGAUGUUGAAUUAAUUUUUCUAAUAAAUGCAUCCAUUUAAAAAGAAAGUCUGUUCGACUUUUAAAUAA